UGCUAGCUUGCUAAUAAUUCUCUAGUGGCGCACGGGUGAGUAACACGUGAGUAACCUGCCCCCAAGAGUGGGAUAGCCCCGGGAAACUGGGAUUAAUACCGCAUAAAAUCGCAAGAUUAAAGCAGCAAUGCGCUUGGGGAUGGGCUCGCGUCCUAUUAGUUAGUUGGUGAGGUAACGGCUCACCAAGGCGAUGACGGGUAGCCGGUCUGAGAGGAUGUCCGGCCACACUGGAACUGAGACACGGUCCAGACACCUACGGGUGGCAGCAGUCGAGAAUCAUUCACAAUGGGGGAAACCCUGAUGGUGCGACGCCGCGUGGGGGAAUGAAGGUCUUCGGAUUGUAAACCCCUGUCAUGUGGGAGCAAAUUAAAAAGAUAGUACCACAAGAGGAAGAGACGGCUAACUCUGUGCCAGCAGCCGCGGUAAUACAGAGGUCUCAAGCGUUGUUCGGAAUCACCGGGCGUAAAGCGUGCGUAGGCGGUUUCGUAAGUCGUGUGUGAAAGGCGGGGGCUCAACCCCCGGACUGCACAUGAUACUGCGAGACUAGAGUAAUGGAGGGGGAACCGGAAUUCUCGGUGUAGCAGUGAAAUGCGUAGAUAUCGAGAGGAACACUCGUGGCGAAGGCGGGUUCCUGGACAUUAACUGACGCUGAGGCACGAAGGCCAGGGGAGCGAAAGGGAUUAGAUACCCCUGUAGUCCUGGCAGUAAACGGUGCACGCUUGGUGUGCGGGGA
rnacentral:rRNA from 1 species